rnacentral:rRNA from 1 species
GCACAAGCGGAGGAACAUGUGGUUUAAUUCGAUGAUACGCGAGGAACCUUACCCGGGCUUGAAAUGCAUCUGACCGGCCUUGAAAGAGGCACUCCCUUCGGGGCAGAUGUGUAGGUGCUGCAUGGUUGUCGUCAGCUCGUGCCGUGAGGUGUCGGCUUAAGUGCCAUAACGAGCGCAACCCUCAUCAUUAGUUACCAUCAGGUAAGGCUGGGGACUCUAAUGAGACUGCCAUCGUAAGAUGUGAGGAAGGUGGGGAUGACGUCAAAUCAGCACGGCCCUUACGUCCGGGGCGACACACGUGUUACAAUGGGUGGUACAAAGGGCAGCUACCUGGCGACAGGAUGCUAAUCUCGAAAACCGCUCUCAGUUCGGAUCGGAGUCUGCAACUCGACUCCGUGAAGCUGGAUUCGCUAGUAAUCGCGCAUCAGCCACGGCGCGGUGAAUACGUUCCCGGGCCUU